ensembl:lincRNA
ACUUGCAUAGCUGGCUGUGCAGCUCUUCAUUGGUCUCAUGUCUUUGCUGAUCUUCAUUGAGAGAGAGGCAUGGCAGAGAACACCUAGCAUUCCUACUGGUCCUGGUCUCUCCCACUGACUUGUGUUGAUUUGGCAGAGGUUUGACAGUUUCUGCUGGAUUGUGUCGAGUUGCUGAUUCAUGUUUGGUGACACUUUUGAACUGGAGGAACUCCUUCAGCUCUCUACUGCGCCAGUUCCUCUUCCCUACUGUGAUGCGUCAUUCAUGGAGUCCACGAAGCUUUGAUAGACACUCGGGCUUGCUAGAUUCCAGAGACUAUUUCUCUCCAGCAUCCAAAGAACCGGCAUGAAAGGAGGAAGCAGGAUCGUGGGCUACAGUGACAAAGCCUUCUGCUGACUCAGGUCAAGUUCUGACUCCCAGUUUCCUCCGUUUUCCUUCCUGGGUAUCAACACUAUCACUGCUAGUAUCACCAAAGGCAUCAGGUGUCCUCGCUUGUUACGAGGGGAAUGGGAUAUUACCUGCACCUUUCCUCAAAGGUGGUUGGAUGUUUUGUUAUUAUUGUUUUGUUUUCUACCUAGUGGAAGUAAAACAUGUAGAAUAGGUCGUUGUUGUUGUUGUUGUUGUUGUUGCUGCUGCUGCUGCUGCUUCUGGGAUUUGGAAUUUUUGGAUUUGGAAUAGCUAGGGAGGAUUCAUACUUUUAAUAAAGUCACAAUUAAUAACCUCACUACUUCCUUCAGACUUCAGACUUCAGACUCAGGCUACCACAUGAGAAUAUCACAACAGCUGGACCCUCUCUCUAAACAUUUGUUCAUGAUGGCACAAUUUGAACAGGCUAAUGUGUCACCUAACUACUGUAAGAGGAACACCAAUGGCCAAAGCUUGUCUUUGACAGGGAAAUUUCAAAGAAUGUUUUGAAUUAAUGAUUGUGUGUUUAACAAAAUAUGAUCUUUUACUGAAUUGUCUUAACUUCUUUAAGAUAUUGUUUUCCUGUUCUCUGAUAACUUUUCUCUGAUUGGUUGAACUUUAUUAAAUACAUAUGAUAGGAACAUGAUAUGAUAUGAUAUGAUGAUAUAAUAUUGUUAGAUACACCCAUAAUCUAGUCUUUCCCAUUAUCUUCACUAUUAACAAGGUUACCUCACUCAGCUUACCCUGAGAGAUUCUAAAACCAUCACUAGUUCAAAGUAGCUCCAGGACACGAUCUCUGGUACCCGAAUGUUUAUAACUGUUAGUUAUAAAAGACAACAGGGAGCAAAGCUACCCACAUCUGUCACAGGAAAGAGAACAGAAGAAACUUGAGGAAGUUGUUCAUUUUACACACAAUCAAUGGCCAGAAUAGACAGAUUCCUGACACUGGAAGGAUGUGAGACUGCAAGAUAGAGACAGAUGUUCGGAAGAGAAAAUGGAGUUCCAUAAUCUUUGACCAAGUCUCUUUCACACGAACUAAAUGACAGAAUAGAUCUCUUCUUACUGCUUUGGAGCCCCCGUUGAAUUUGAAAAUUUCCAAAGAAGUUAUUUUGUUGUGUGUUUUUUUUUUUUUUUAAUUUUGCAGUGCUGGAGUUGGAGCCCAAAGCUUUGCAUGGAUUUGAAAGCAGUGGCUUUAGAACCUGUGUGCACCACACUAGGUUUAGCAGGGUGACUGAAGCUUUCUAGAGAUGAAGCCUGAUAAAUGCAAACACGGAGUCUCACAGAACAGAGAGUACACCCAUCAUCUCUGUGAGACACAAGUCUCAUCCCCACCCUCAGACCCUGCCCCAUGAUGGAGUCAAGGGAACUGCUGGAAGCCCUCUCAGACCCACCUUAGCUCCAUCUCCAUCCUAACUGGGUUCUUCUAUAUUCCGGACCUGUUUUUCCUAAAAAUGACAAGAGAUACCUGUCUCUCAGCUGC